UUUAGCUCUUAAUGUACAUUUGGCUCUCAAGGGGAAACUCAGGCAUCACCGUGUAUUUCCUAAAUUAAUCCAAUUAUAAUGAUUUCUAUAUUUAACGAUGAGCCACAAAUGUUUUUAAUCACGCUUUGUUCCCUGUGGUACAGCUUACACAAUACCAUUGCCUGCAUGCUAAAGAAUAGCAUAAAAAUACUCUUGUACACUAAUGGAAUACCUGGCAGUGUGAGGAAUUCAUCUUCAAAGAUCAAACCACUUUCUGAAAGGGCAGAAGCCACAGAUUUGGAACCAAACAAAAGUCUGUUUCACUCAUGUUUUCUUUGGCUUUCUCUACCCAGCCAAAUUGGAUAGUUCCAAUAAAAAAGUAUCCACCUUGGGGCCUAAAAUUAUACCCUUAAAAUUAACAGGAUAAUUAUCCACUCUGUAUUCCUCUUUUUCUCUGAAGAUACAACCAUUGUCUUAUGGCUUCAGGAAAAACAUUACUGAGAAUUUCAUAGAAAAAAAAGCAUUUAUCAGGGUUGGGAUCUCCCUUCAUUACCUUGAGGCAUGUUUCCAAGAAUUUGGGCCCCAGAAUUGAGAAACCAGAUAUAUGACCUGGGAUCUUCACCCCUUCAAAAAAAAAAUCAGAAGUCAUUUAAUAUCACUUUUCCAUUGUGAUUUAUGUACACUUGUGUGCAAGUGUCAUUAGAAAUGAAGUUUUACAUAAGUGGAAAUAUGUAGAAUUAAUCCAGUGUGUUCAAUAAUGUGUUUGACAUAGGUUAUCUAGGAAUUCCAGGGGUGUGUUGGGGUACAACCUUAGUCAUGCAUGCUCAAUGGAAGCCUUGGUUCUUAAACUUUUGAAUAUUCUUCAACAAAAAAAUCAUUGACAACAAUCUGGCACUGCUAUAACAAUGUACCACAAACUGAAUCCUUAUAAAUCAGAAAUGUAUUAUCUCACAGUUGUGAAGUCUACAAUUCUGAAAUCUAGUUGUCAGCAGAACUGGUUUCUUCUGACAGGUGUCAGAGGGAUGAUUCUGCUGCAUGCCCCUUUCAUCGCUUCUGAUGACCUCAGGAAUUCCUUGGUUUGUCAAGGUGCCUCCCAUGUCAUUACUUUCUCUGUGCUCUCAAACUAUCCAUGUGUGUAAAUUUCUCCUUUUUCUGUGAAUACCAGUCAUGUUGAAUUCAGACUCACUCUAAUGAUCUCCUCUUAACUUGACCCUGUACAAAGACUCUUUCCAAAUAAGGUCACAUUUAGAGAUUUUAGUUUAGGGCUUUAGUAGCUGUUGUGGGUGGGGACUGCACAAUUUCACCUAAAAUAGGAAUUUAAAGUUUCAAAAACAUCAAUGAUUUCUUCAAACAGAAUUAUGUUUUUGUUUUUUUUUUCACUACAAAACAUCAUCAGUCCUUGACUGAGUCGUAUGUGUUGAGAUGGGUGAUUUUUAAUUAACUAACAGUUGGGACAGUGGGUAAACAAGUUAAGGAGAGUUGGCAGUGGAGGAAGCAUUUAGUACCUCCUGAAGGUGAGCAUCAAAACCUCAAUCAAGGGAAGCAUGUGUGUUUUCGAUAAUUAUGUUAAACAUUAGAAUUUUGUAGCUGAAAGGAAAGAAAUUACCUGUAAUAUUAAAAAGUAAAUGCUCAUUCAAGUAUUGUUGCCUGUUAGGAAGAAGUAAAAGAUACUCAUAACAGAGGGACAUUUGGACAUACAGGUUGAGAAGGAAGACAUUGCAAACACAUGGAAAACUUCUCCAAUGUGGGUUGGGGGAGAAAGUGAGACUAGAAUCCACACAGCCAUUUCUAUGAAAGAAAAGGGACUUUUCAACACUUAAACACUACCAGUAUAAUAACAAUUUACUAAAAGUACACAUGCAUCAUUACCCCCUCUGUGAUGGGAAGCAUGAGGGUUUGGGAACUAAAUAUGAUGCACUUCAGUAAACUCAGUCUGAUCCCAUUUGGGCAGCUUAGUCUGUUCAGUAAAUGUUGAGAUUUUCAGAUUGCCUUUUCUCCCCAUUGCUCUUUGGGAUGAUGUCUGAGUUUAUAGCAACCAAGGAUGAUUCUAUGACCACAUAGAACUUUCAUACGUUGAAACUUAAUUGUCAAUGUAAUAGUAUUAAGUGUCAAUACCUUUAGGAGGUGAUUAAAUCACGAGGGCUCUGCCCUCCUGUGUGGGAUUAAUGGCUUGCAAAACAGGUUCUCACAGCAUUCACCCCCUUUGCCCUUCUGCCUUCUGCUAUGUAAGGACACAGUGUUCAAGAUGCCACCUUGAGCAAAAACUGGGCCCUCACUGGACAACAAACCUGUUGGUUCCUUGAUCUUGGACUUCCCAGCCUCCAAAAUUGUGAGCAAUAAAUGUGUUCUUUGUAUGUUACUCAGUCUCAGUAAUUUUGUUAUAGUAUCAAGAAUGGACAAAGACAGAGGCUCCCAAGCUUACCUGUAGAUCAAGGAGACCUCAGACACCUGGC
rnacentral:lncRNA from 1 species